CCCGAAAAAAGCCGCCUCCGAAACCGACCGACCAACCAGCCCGGACCUUGGGGCGGAUUGGAUUUUAAAGAGGCAGCCAUCUCUUUUCGCCCGUUUGUGGAUAGGGAUGGUUGGUUGGUUUCUGCUGCUGGAAGCUACGUUUUGUCCUCUCGACCUAGAGGAAAAAAUGAAGCCCUAAGGAAGAUGAGAAAUAAGCAUCUUCGCCCUGUUCUCAAGCAGUGCCUACCAUCACCUCAAGGACGAGAAUGUAGCCAGCGUGCCCGAGAUAAUGACGUUCAGAAGUGGACUGCAGCGGAUCGUGGGUUGAUCAGGAAAUCUACACCAAGAGUUCCCACCUCCGGAAUUUCUCACCGCAGGAUUGGCAGAGCUGGAGAAUCUGCUGGUUUUUAGAUCAUCAUCCACGCGUUCUCUUUCAGGCUUUCACUUCACGCGGGGAGGUGUUAACCUGCGGACCCAGAAUCUUCCCGGGUUUCCUCUAGACUGCAGUUUUCUUGUGGGCGGGGAUCACGCCAACCAACUCCAAUGUAUUGUACUCUCCUAAGCGCUUAGUACAGUAUUUUGCACACGGUAACCACUCAAUAAAUACUAUUGAUUGAUUUAAC
rnacentral:lncRNA from 1 species